UACGAAGGGGGCUAGCGUUGUUCGGAUUUACUGGGCGUAAAGCGCACGUAGGCGGGUUGUUAAGUCAGGGGUGAAAUCCUGGAGCUCAACUCCAGAACUGCCUUUGAUACUGGCAACCUAGAGGCUGGAAGAGGUUAGUGGAAUUCCCAGUGUAGAGGUGAAAUUCGUAGAUAUUGGGAAGAACACCAGUGGCGAAGGCGGCUAACCGGUCCAGAUCUGACGCUGAGGUGCGAAAGCGUGGGGAGCAAACAGG
rnacentral:rRNA from 1 species